UUUAUUUGUUCUAGUCAUGGAUAUGCAUGAAAUAUUUGCCAUUGGACGUUAAGCAAACGGGAGAAAUAAUAUGUACACGAAACCGAAACAUCGAAGAAGGGCACUAGAAUCAGUACUUCGCUAGUGGGCUGGUGAUACCCUCGUGGACAAAUAGACCACCAACCGAGGUAGUGAGUCAGUUGUGGUUAUAAAUAAAGCAAACAUAUUGUUGUAGACCUGUUAUUUGGACAAUAGUUGGCUGAUUGCAGGAUAAAAGAUACGAUCACAGUCCAAGAUAAAGUUGCUAUGCAUUUGUUGUUGUCAAUAACAGUUCAUUCAAGGCAGCAUUUGCAGGAAGUUCUUUUAUCUGUAGAGGAUAAGCAGGAUCUGAAGAUUAUUGCAUGCUCACAUUAAUAUUGUAUUGUAAUUUAUUGUUAUUCGGAGCGGACUUCAUAAGUAUGGUUUACUUGUGUCCAAUCCAUUUUACUUUGAGUAAAUAAAAUAUGUUUAAACUA